rnacentral:rRNA from 1 species
UGGGGAAUAUUGCACAAUGGGCGCAAGCCUGAUGCAGCCAUGCCGCGUGUGUGAAGAAGGCCUUCGGUUGUAAAGCACUUUCUAGCGAGGAGGAAGGUGGUGAACUUAAUACGUUCAUCAAUUGACGUUACUCGCAGAAGAAGCACCGGCUAACUCCGUGCCAGCAGCCGCGGGUAAUACGGAGGGUGCAAGCGUUAAUCGGAAUUACUGGGCGUAAAGCGCACGCAGGCGGUUUUGUUAAGUCCAGAUGGUGAAAUCCCCGGGCUCAACCUGGGAACUGCAUUUGAAACUGGCAAGCUAGAGUCUCGUAGAGGGGGGUAGAAUUCCAGGUGUAGCGGUGAAAUGCGUAGAGAUCUGGAGGAAUACCGGUGGCGAAGGCGGCCCCCUGGACGAAGACUGACGCUCAGGUGCGAAAGCGUGGGGAGCAAACAGAUUAGAUACCCUGGUUAGUCCACGCUGUAAACGAUGUCGAUUUUGGAGGUUGUGCCCCUUGAGG